UUAAUAAAAUAAACUACCAUAUUAAAUAAUAAAAAUUAUUAUAUAAUGACCGGUUAGGGGUGUCAAAAUGGGUCAAAAUUCAUGGGUCAACUCAACUCAACUCAACCCAUGAACCCUUAAAUUUUUUUACUCAAAUGAGUUGAUGGGUCAAAUGGGUUGAUGAGUCAAUUGGUUUGAUGAGUAAAAUGAGUUGGGUUGUAAUGGUUAAUGGUUUCAAUGGUUUACCCAAUUAACCCAUCAAAUUUUGUAAAUUUGAAUUAAACCAACUAAAAUCUCUAAACCAAUGCCAAUUUAAGUUUAACAAACACAUCUAAACCAAUUUAAUAAAAUUAAUAUUUUUCCAAAAUUCUUAAAUAUACAAGCGAUGCAAUUGAGAAAAAAUAAACUCGUAAUUUUUCCACCAAAAAACAUAAACCCGUGAUUUUCUCGCCAAAAACGUAAACCCGUGAUUUUCUUGCCAAAAACGUAAAUCCAUAAUUUUCCCGCCAAAAACGUAAACCCGUAAUUUUCCCGCCAAAAACGUAAACCCGUAAUUUUCUCACCAAAAACGUAAACCCGUGAUUUUCCCGCCAAAAAUGUAACCCCGUGAUUUUCCCACCAAAAAUGUAACCCCGUGAUUUUCCCGCCAAAAACGUAAACCCGUGAUUUUCCCGCCAAAAACGUAAACCCGUGAUUUUCCCGCCAAAAACGUAAACCCGAGAUUUUCCCGCCAAAAACGUAAAUCCGUUAUUUUUUCGUCCAAAACGUAAACCCAUGAUUUUUCCGUCAAAAACGUAAACCCAUCAUUUUCCGGCCGAAAACGUAAAAACCUAUAAUUUUCCCACCAAAAACGUAAAUCCGUGAUUUUCGGUACCAAAAACGUAAACCUGUGAAAAGUGGAAUCUGUAAAUAUCUUAAGUUUGAUGAUAAUGAAUUAAUAAUGAUAAUUAUUUAUUAUUU
rnacentral:sRNA from 1 species